rnacentral:rRNA from 1 species
CAGUAGCCACGGGAAUACAGAGGGUGCGAGCGUUAAUCGGAUUUACUGGGCGUAAAGCGUGCGUAGGCGGCUAAUUGAGUCGGAUGUGAAAUCCCCGAGCUUAACUUGGGAAUUGCAUUCGAUACUGGUUAGCUAGAGUGUGGGAGAGGAUGGUAGAAUUCCAGGUGUAGCGGUGAAAUGCGUAGAGAUCUGGAGGAAUACCGAUGGCGAAGGCAGCCAUCUGGCCUAACACUGACGCUGAGGUACGAAAGCAUGGGGAGCAAACAGGAUUAGAUACCCGCGUAGUCCCUGUCUCUUAUAA